CCUACGGGAGGCAGCAGUGAGGAAUAUUGGUCAAUGGUCGGGAGACUGAACCAGCCAAGCCGCGUGAGGGAUGAAGGUCCAGAGUAUCGUAAACCUCUUUUGUCAGGGAACAAAGGCGGGGACGUGUCCCCGGAUGCGUGUACCUGAAGAAAAAGCAUCGGCUAACUCCGUGCCAGCAGCCGCGGUAAUACGGAGGAUGCGAGCGUUAUCCGGAUUUAUUGGGUUUAAAGGGUGCGUAGGCGGUCUGUUAAGUCCGCCGUCAAAGGCCGGGGCUUAACCCAGGCCCCCCGUUUGAAACUGGCAGUCUCGAGUGGGAGAGAAGUAUGCGGAAUUCGUGGUGUAGCGGUGAAAUGCAUAGAUAUCGCGCAGAACUCCGAUUGCGAAGGCAGCAUGCCGGCUCCACACUGACGCUGAGGCACGAAAGCGUGGGUAUCGAACAGGAUUAGAUACCCGAGUAGUC
rnacentral:rRNA from 1 species